GAUGAACGCUAGCUACAGGCUUAACAUAUGCAAGUCGCGGGGCAGCAUGGGGGUUGCUUGCAAUCCCCGAUGGCGACCGGCGCACGGGUGAGUAACGCGUAUCCAACCUGCCCUUCACCACGGGAUAACCCGGCGAAAGUCGGACUAAUACCGUAUGUUGUCCAUUGACGGCAUCCGAUUUGGACGAAAGGCUUGGCGGUGAGGGAUGGGGAUGCGUCCGAUUAGCCAGACGGCGGGGUAACGGCCCACCGUGGCUACGAUCGGUAGGGGUUCUGAGAGGAAGGUCCCCCACACUGGAACUGAGACACGGUCCAGACUCCUACGGGAGGCAGCAGUGAGGAAUAUUGGUCAAUGGGCGUAAGCCUGAACCAGCCAAGUAGCGUGCAGGAUGACGGCCCUAUGGGUUGUAAACUGCUUUUAUGCGGGGAUAAAGUGGCCCACGUGUGGGCUUUUGCAGGUACCGCAUGAAUAAGGACCGGCUAAUUCCGUG
rnacentral:rRNA from 1 species